rnacentral:misc_RNA from 1 species
GCUCUUGAGCUCUCCUAUGGUUCUGUAAGUUCUCUCUCUCUCUUCACUUACAUGGCAUUAUUUUCCUUUUCAUGCCUUAUUGGACUUCCUUCCACGGAGAUGCAGCAAUCAGUAGUCGUUUCUUUUAAGUUCCAAACCAGCAGAAGCAGAUGAAUUGCUUCUUCCAAUAAGGCAAUCUGAUUUUUAUUUAUGUAUUUUGUUUUCGUCGAUGGGACAUGUAGAUCUCAACUCAGUGCUUGCUUUUUAGAGGAAGAUGUGUGGCUAUGAUAUUUCUUUAUUACAAUAGAAGCAUCCUUUCUUUUCUUCCUCUCUUUGUGGUUUAUAUGGGUCAAAGUGCAUCGUGCAGAAACGCUGAAGGAUUAUAGAGGUG